GACGAACGCUGGCGGCGUGCCUAAUACAUGCAAGUAGAACGCUGAAGAGAGGAGCUUGCUCUUCUUGGAUGAGUUGCGAACGGGUGAGUAACGCGUAGGUAACCUGCCUUUUAGCGGGGGAUAACUAUUGGAAACGAUAGCUAAUACCGCAUAACAAUGGAUGACACAUGACAUUUAUUUGAAAGGGGCAAUUGCUCCACUACAAGAUGGACCUGCGGUUUAUUAGCUAGUAGGUGAGGUAAUGGCUCACCUAGGCGACGAUACAUAGCCGACCUGAGAGGGUGAUCGGCCACACUGGGACUGAGACCCGGCCCAGACUCCUACGGGAGGCAGCAGUAGGGGAUCUUCGGCCAUGGGGGCAACCCUGACCGGGCAACGCCGCGUGAGUGAAGGAGGGUUUCGGAUCGUAAAGUUCUGUUGUAAGUCAAGAACGGGUGUGAGAGUGGAAAGUUCACACUGUGACGGUAGCUUACCAGAAAGGGACGGCUAACUACGUG
rnacentral:rRNA from 1 species